rnacentral:rRNA from 1 species
UACGAAGGGUACUAGCGUUGUUCGGAAUCACUGGGCGUAAAGCGCACGUAGGCGGAUUUGUAAGUCAGGGGUGAAAGCCUGGAGCUCAACUCCAGAACUGCCCUUGAUACUGGCAAUCUCGAGUCCGGAAGAGGUAAGUGGAACUCCGAGUGUAGAGGUGAAAUUCGUAGAUAUUCGGAAGAACACCAGUGGCGAAGGCGGCUUACUGGUCCGGUACUGACGCUGAGGUGCGAAAGCGUGGGGAGCAAACAGG